rnacentral:rRNA from 1 species
GAAUUCGCCCUUAGAGUUUGAUCCUGGCUCAGGACGAACGCUGGCGGCGUGCCUAACACAUGCAAGUCGAACGGAACUUUUUUAAAAGAUUUCUUCGGAAUGAUUUUGAUUAAGUUUAGUGGCGGACGGGUGAGUAACGCGUGAGUAACCUGCCUCUAAGAGGGGAAUAACAUUCUGAAAAGAAUGCUAAUACCGCAUAACAUAUAUUUAUCGCAUGGUAGAUAUAUCAAAGAUUUAUCGCUUAGAGAUGGACUCGCGUCCGAUUAGUUAGUUGGUGAGGUAACGGCUCACCAAGACUGCGAUCGGUAGCCGGACUGAGAGGUUGAACGGCCACAUUGGGACUGAGACACGGCCCAGACUCCUACGGGAGGCAGCAGUGGGGGAUAUUGCGCAAUGGGGGAAACCCUGACGCAGCAACGCCGCGUGAAGGAUGAAGGUCUUCGGAUUGUAAACUUCUUUUAUUAAGGACGAAGAAAGUGACGGUACUUAAUGAAUAAGCUCCGGCUAACUACGUGCCAGCAGCCGCGGUAAUACGUAGGGAGCAAGCGUUGUCCGGAUUUACUGGGUGUAAAGGGUGCGUAGGCGGCUUUGCAAGUCAGAUGUGAAAUCUAUGGGCUCAACCCAUAGCCUGCAUUUGAAACUGCAGAGCUUGAGUGAAGUAGAGGCAGGCGGAAUUCCCCGUGUAGCGGUGAAAUGCGUAGAGAUGGGGAGGAACACCAGUGGCGAAGGCGGCCUGCUGGGCUUUAACUGACGCUGAGGCACGAAAGCGUGGGUAGCAAACAGGAUUAGAUACCCUGGUAGUCCACGCUGUAAACGAUGAUUACUAGGUGUGGGGGGUCUGACCCCUUCCGUGCCGGAGUUAACACAAUAAGUAAUCCACUUGGGGAGUACGGCCGCAAGGUUGAAACUCAAAUGAAUUGACGG